GAUCUAGUGAAAUUCAUGGAGCGUACAACAUGCAACAAAAAACAUAGUUUAUUUCUGUAUACUGUUUUAUUCUUUUGUGUGAGUGGUGUAAUACCAUAAAUUAUUAUAAAGCCAUGUUUCAAUGAAAAUGUAAAGAAAUCAGACGUCUGGCACAUCAUGAAAAUAAUGGCUUUGAUGGUGUUGCAUCCUGCCUUUUUUAGUAUAGUAUAGUCUAAGUAUCGGCAGCCUACACACUGUACGCUCUGUGCAUGUUAGCAUCGCUCCUUUUAUAGUUAUUUGCAGACAUAGUCUUUGAGAUAACUAUAUUAUUUCAGUCUGUCUGGCACACGCAGUCAGAGAAUUUUAUAACCCAAUCUUACCUCUGGUGAUGUAUUUGUCUUUUCCCCAGGCUGCAUCCUUGAAUAUUGCAGUGCAAAGAUACUCAACUGCACCGUCACUCAGUACGCUGACCAAACAGUCUGCAACAUCUCAGACAGUGAGCUUGUCUCAGGUGCUGCGGCAACCACCCCUGUGUACACAUGGGCCAACGCAAGUGGCUAUGUGCUUGCAAACAACUAUGACAAAUCUCCCGAGCAGGUGUUGAGACAAAACCUCACCGUUCUCGUCACCUCAAAAUGCAUUGAUGAGAUCGUCUUCAAGUGUCACCCAGAUUCACAGCCGGAAGCAUACGAGGCUUACUGCCGCAUCAACUGCACUCAAAAAGCUCAAAUGUUUCGGAACAACAAAGAGCACAUCUGGAUCGUUCUUGUCACAGUAAUCCUUUCGCUGGUGGUGUUUGGUGUCAUAUUCUGCAAAUUCAGAGACAACAUUUCCAGGAUAUGCAGCUGUUGCCCACUGAGACGCUUUUACAAUUCUGUGACAAUGCAGGACGUUGACACAAAGGAAGCUGACGCUGAAGCAGGGAAGGUGUAGAAAGACGUUUAUCUAUCUACAAGGCACGUUUUUAUCAAACUUAGAUUUUCACUUGAUCUGUUACCGCUGUGGCAUAGUUUGAAACAUUUUCAAUGCCUGAGACUGUGCCCUCCAUUUUUAGCUUAUCAUCUCAAUGUAUUAUAUCUACUUCUGCAUCAUGACAUGCUGUAUUUAUUCAGGCUUUCCAUGGUGUUUCCCUGCAUUAUUUUAGUAGCAGUGUGCUUUCAUUACUGUAUUGUGUCUGCUGCACUACUCUUACAUUUAGGAAAAAUUAUUGUGGUGAGCCGUUCUUUAGGGAACCAUCAAUUUCCAGUUUGACACAAAGCGAUUCCUGCUGAAAUCCAUAUUUCAGCUAUGGGAUACAAAAUAUACAUCAUGUCAUGGUAUAAUUAUGUUAGUCACAAAGGAUUGGGUUAGUAGGUGAAACACCUAUUAGCGAAACAUCGUUGUAAGGUUCAUACAACCCCCAUCCACAACUACCAUAAUGUCAACAUGCCACUGCUGCAAGAACGAGUUCCAGGGAAACACGUUUUUUAUACAUACGUAUGUUUUUGCUUUUAUAUAUAAUCUAAGGCUAAGUCUUGAGUUACCCUUUUGCCAAGUAUCUGCGCUUUAAGCUUUCUUCACUCUGUCAUGGUUCCUAGGACACAUUUAUCAGUGUCCGUAUACAGACAUAUACUGUGUGUGACUGCACCUAUGCAAAACUGUCCCUUUAAAGAAGCGUCCCUCACUAAUCUUGUUCACAUGUGGCCUUUUAUCAGGGUUAUGUUGAUCGGAAAGCUUUUACACAUUAAAAAGUAAAUUUUGAAGACUAACGCCCAGUAGCAAUAUUGUAACCCCACCAAGAUCCACUCCGGACCCCCAUAUUGGUGUUAACAUGACUUGUAAUGCCCUUUCAGUGUUCUGUUGCAUAACAGCAGCCCCCCUUGAUGUUUAUCUGAAGUUUAAAAUACAUAAA